GGUACACGAGCGGCGAACGGGUGAGUAACACGUGAGCAACCUGCCCCUGACUCCGGGAUAAGCGGUGGAAACGCCGUCUAAUACCGGAUACGACCCGCCACCUCAUGGUGGAGGGUGGAAAGUUUUUCGGUCAGGGAUGGGCUCGCGGCCUAUCAGCUUGUUGGUGGGGUAACGGCCUACCAAGGCGAUUACGGGUAGCCGGCCUGAGAGGGCGACCGGCCACACUGGGACUGAGACACGGCCCAGACUCCUGCGGGAGGCAGCAGUGGGGAAUAUUGCGCAAUGGGCGAAAGCCUGACGCAGCGACGCCGCGUGGGGGAUGACGGCCUUCGGGUUGUAAACCUCUUUUACCACCAACGCAGGCUCGAAGUUCUCUUCGGGUUGACGGUAGGUGGGGAAUAAGGACCGGCUAACUACGUGCCAGCAGCCGCGGUAAUACGUAGGGUCCGAGCGUUGUCCGGAAUUAUUGGGCGUAAAGAGCUCGUAGGCGGCGUGUCGCGUCUGCUGUGAAAGACCGGGGCUUAACUCCGGUUCUGCAGUGGAUACGGGCAUGCUAGAGGUAGGUAGGGGAGACUGGAAUUCCUGGUGUAGCGGUGAAAUGCGCAGAUAUCAGGAGGAACACCGGUGGCGAAGGCGGGUCUCUGGGCCUUACCUGACGCUGAGGAGCGAAAGCAUGGGGAGCGAACAGGAUUAGAUACCCUGGUAGUCCAUGCCGUAAACGUUGGGCGCU
rnacentral:rRNA from 1 species